AUGGCCAGAUCAUGUUGAAACACCAGUUUUCAUUCGAUCACUGAAGUUAAGCAACAUGGAGCCUGGUCAGUAUCCAAAUUGGUGAUGGCUGGGGAAUACCAGGUGCUGUAAG